UACUUUGCAUAUUUUGUGUACUUUUUACAUUAUUAUACAUUCAAUUGUUUUCAAAAAAAUGAAAAAAGCAUGCUAUUCAUAAUGAUAAUAAUAAUAAAUCAAAAUGUCAAUAUCAGGUCUAUUGGCAUUGCAAAUGCGUCUUUUUCGCGUAGGCGCAAAACAAACAUAAUAUCUCCCUACUACCCAUGUGAGACUUCUUUUUCCGGUGGAUCCUUUGACAAAAGCACAUGCUACAUCGUAUAACGUCAUGUUAAUUGAGACUUUGUAUUUCAUUUGCGUCGCAUUACAAUCUUUAUUUUCAUUCUCUAUAUUGCACGCUAUAAAGAUUUUACCUAUCAGAAGCCACGUUUCUUCCUUGAAGCUGGAUUAAAUGCUAGUCUUGCCAACUUGCCGUAAAUACUCUGUCCAGUGAAUACGAAACGAAUUGCUUAGGAGGAUGACUCGAGACAUGGCGACGUGACUCAACCGACUCCUUUACAGAGGAAUCUUCCACGGAGAAAGAGAUACGCAUGAUUUCUGAUGACCAUGGAAGAUUGUAAGACACCAUACAGGUGCUCGAUUUUUGCGAUAAUUGAUGAUGAUAGAGAUGUAUUGGAAAUGUCGAAAAUGUCCAUUGUGUUGUAAAAUUGGAAAUAAAUAUUUCUGUGAUAAAGUGAUUUUUCAUCAAAAUUGUCGAUUUUUAAAACAAAAUUAUGUCUGGGAAAAAUUGAAAUCAU